AUUGAACGCUGGCGGCAGGCCUAACACAUGCAAGUCGAGCGAGCGGCGGACGGGUGAGUAAUGUCUGGGAAACUGCCUGAUGGAGGGGGAUAACUACUGGAAACGGUAGCUCAUACCGCAUACCCUCAGAUGUGCCCCGAUGGGCUUAGCUAGUAGGUGGGGUAUCGGCUCACCUAGGCGACGCUCCCUAGCUGGUCUGAGAGGAUGACCAGCCACACUGGAAAUGAGACACGGUACAGACUCCUACGGGAGGCAGCAGUGGGGAAUAUUGCACAAUGGGCGCAAGCCUGAGGCAGCCAUGCCGCGUGUGUGAAGAAGGCCUUCGGGUUGUAAAGCACUUUCAGCGGGGAGGCGUUACCCGCAGAAGAAGCACCGGCUAACUCCGUGCCAGCAGCCGCGGUAAUUC
rnacentral:rRNA from 1 species